UACGUAGGGUGCGAGCGUUGUCCGGAAUCAUUGGGGCGUAAAGAGCGCGUAGGCGGCCCAGUAAGUCCGCUCUGAAAGUCAGGGGCUCAACCCCUGGAUGCGGGUGGAUACUGCUGGGCUAGAGUCCGGAAGAGGUGAGUGGAAUUCCUGGUGUAGCGGUGAAAUGCGCAGAUAUCAGGAGGAACACCGAUGGCGAAGGCA
rnacentral:rRNA from 1 species